rnacentral:rRNA from 1 species
GACGAACGCUGGCGGCGUGCUUAACACAUGCAAGUCGAACGAUGAAGGAGGAGCUUGCUCCUCUGGAUUAGUGGCGAACGGGUGAGUAACACGUGAGCAAUCUGCCCUUGACUCUGGGAUAAGCGCUGGAAACGGCGUCUAAUACCGGAUACGACCCUCGGAGGCAUCUCCUGUGGGUGGAAAGAACUUCGGUCAAGGAUGAGCUCGCGGCCUAUCAGCUUGUUGGUGAGGUAAUGGCUCACCAAGGCGACGACGGGUAGCCGGCCUGAGAGGGUGACCGGCCACACUGGGACUGAGACACGGCCCAGACUCCUACGGGAGGCAGCAGUGGGGAAUAUUGCACAAUGGGCGCAAGCCUGAUGCAGCAACGCCGCGUGAGGGACGACGGCCUUCGGGUUGUAAACCUCUUUUAGCAGGGAAGAAGCGAGAGUGACGGUACCUGCAGAAAAAGCACCGGCUAACUACGUGCCAGCCGCCGCCGUAAUAC